AAACAGAUGCAAACCGAACUAUGAAGAACACUGCCGUCGUGCUUGCGGCGCUUCUGCUUUUUUCAGCGAUGGUGGUAAACUCCCAGAGGUUUCCGGGAGGUGGCAUAGUUAACAGAGUUCGUCAACGUAUAUGUAACGGCCGAUUUUGCCGUUAUGGUGAGCGUUGCAUCGAGACAACAUUUCCGUGCCGAAGGCCUCCAUGCUUGAGGAGGUUUCGAUGUAUUUGAAUCCAGACGGUGGCCUCUUCUGUGGUGAAUGUCGUUAUGCCACGCAGCCACGCAAUAGAACACGGGUAGAAUAAAUAAACUUCAUGAUGCAACGCCUCUACCAGCAGCAUGACCAAUGUUUUAGGACGUGUGGUCGCGUAGCACCAUCGCUCUUCGGUGACAGCGGUGGCCGGCCAUAACUGAAUGGGUAAUAUGCGUAAAAACUAAUAUCUGACCAAAAAUGUUAGAUACGAAAGAUAGUUCCCGGUUCUACAAAGGAGAGACUUGUCUGAACGGUCUGGUGAAACUACAGCUUCGCCGAACGCACCGCAUGGCUUGCCACAGCGUACUGCUUUACAAUGGGGUCCCAUGUAUUUUAAAUGAUCUGCAUUCAAUUGUGCUUGGAAGUCACCUGUAUACUUUUCAGUGCGAUACUUUAAUAAUUUUAAAAUGUUCCAGUGGGUUUCUUCUAUAUAACUGGGAGUCGUUUUUGGUGAGUAGCUUUUUUCAUCGGAUAUGGAUUUAUUUCGCCCACGGCCCAUUAAGCUAUGGCCCGACGGCGUUGUGGCCGUCGAUAGAUGGUGCCACGUACAGAUGUUGUUAAAUAUUUGAAAUAAAA